rnacentral:rRNA from 1 species
UACGGAGGGUGCGAGCGUUGUUCGGAAUCACUGGGCGUAAAGGGCGUGUAGGCGGUCCGCUAAGUCUGAUGUGAAAGCCCCGGGCUCAACCUGGGAAUUGCAGUGGAAACUAGGGGACUGGAAUCUGGCAGAGGGGGUGGAAUGCCGCGUGUAGCAGUGAAAUGCGUAGAGAUGCGGCGGAACACCGAUGGCGAAGGCAGCCCCCUGGGCUGAGAUUGACGCUCAUGCACGAAAGCGUGGGGAGCAAACAGG